rnacentral:rRNA from 1 species
AAGUGGUACGCGAGCUGGGUUUAGAACGUCGUGAGACAGUUCGGUCCCUAUCUGCCGUGGGCGCUGGAGAAUUGAGGGGGGCUGCUCCUAGUACGAGAGGACCGGAGUGGACGCAUCACUGGUGUUCGGGUUGUCAUGCCAAUGGCACUGCCCGGUAGCUAAAUGCGGAAGAGAUAAGUGCUGAAAGCAUCUAAGCACGAAACUUGCCCCGAGAUGAGUUCUCCCUGAGACUUUAAGUCUCCUGAAGGAACGUUAAAGACGAUGACGUUGAUAGGCGGGUGUGUAAGCGCAGCGAUGCGUUGAGCUAACCGGUACUAAUGAACCGUGAGGCUUAACCUUACAACGCCGAAG